rnacentral:sRNA from 1 species
AUACCGAAGAGCAUCACAAUACAU